rnacentral:rRNA from 1 species
UUAGAGUUUGAUCCUGGCUCAGGAUGAACGCUAGCGAUAGGCCUAACACAUGCAAGUCGAGGGGCAGCACAUGACGUAGCAAUACAGAUGGUGGCGACCGGCGCACGGGUGAGUAACACGUAUGCAACCUACCUUCCACAGGAGGAUAACCCGUUGAAAGACGGGCUAAUACUCCAUAACACAGGGGUCCCGCAUGGGAAUAUUUGUUAAAGAUUUUUUCGGUAGAAGAUGGGCAUGCGUUCCAUUAGCUAGUUGGUUGAGGUAACGGCUCACCAAGGCAAUGAUGGAUAGGGGUUCUGAGAGGAAGGUCCCCCACAUUGGAACUGCGACACGGUCCAAACUCCUACGGGAGGCAGCAGUGAGGAAUAUUGGUCAAUGGGCGAAAGCCUGAACCAGCUAUGUAGCGUGAAGGAUGACUGCCCUAUGGGUUGUAAACUUCUUUUGUUCGGGAAUAGCAGACUUCACUUGUGGAGUUUUGCAUGUACCGUUCGAAUAAGGAUCGGCUAACUCCGUGCCAGCAGCCGCGGUAAUACGGAGGAUCCUAGCGUUAUUCGGAUUUAUUGGGUUUAAAGGGAGCGUAGGCGGGGGGUCAAGUCAGCUGUGAAAUACGUACGCUUAACGUCCGUCUUGCAGUUGAAACUGGUUUUCUUGAGUGCGUAUGAGGCAGGCGGAAUUCGUGGUGUAGCGGUGAAAUGCUUAGAUAUCACGAGGAACUCCUAUUGCGAAGGCAGCUUGCUGGUCCGCUACUGACGCUGAUGCUCGAAGGUGCGGGUAUCGAACAGGAUUAGAUACCCUGGUAGUCCGCACAGUAAACUAUGGACACUCGCUGUCGGCGAUAUACUGUCGGUGGCUAAGCGAAAGCAUUAAGUAUCCCGCCUGGGGAGUACGAUCGCAAGGUUGAAACUCAAAGGAAUUGACGGGGGCCCGCACAAGCAGCGGAGCAUGUGGUUUAAUUCGAAGCAACGCGAAGAACCUUACCUAGACUUGACAUCUCCUGCAUUACUCUUAAUCGAGGAAGUCCUUUCGGGGACAGGAUGACAGGUGGUGCAUGGUUGUCGUCAGCUCGUGUCGUGAGAUGUUGGGUUAAGUCCCGCAACGAGCGCAACCCUUAUUGUUAGUUGCCAUCAUUAAGUUGGGCACUCUAGCGAGACUGCCCGGGUUAACCGGGAGGAAGGUGGGGAUGACGUCAAAUCAUCAUGCCCCUUAUGUCUAGGGCUACACACGUGCUACAAUGGUCGGUACAAUAAGACGCAAGCCCGCGAGGGGGAGCAAAACUGGAAAACCGAUCUCAGUUCGGAUUGUAGGCUGAAACUCGCCUACAUGAAGCUGGAGUUGCUAGUAAUCGCGAAUCAGCAUGUCGCGGUGAAUACGUUCCCGGGCCUUGCACACACCGCCCGUCAAG